rnacentral:misc_RNA from 1 species
AAGACUAUAGACCUGCGGAGUACCUGCGGAAGGAUCAUUACAGAGUUUUCUAACUCCCAAACCCAUGUGAACUUACCAUUGUUGCCUCGGCGGAGCCUACCCUGUAGCUACCCUAUAAGGUGGUUACCCUGUAGCGCCCCGCCGGUGGAUUUUCAAACUCUUGUUAUUUUUAGUAAUCUGAGAGUCUUAUUUUAAAUAAGUCAAAACUUUCAGCAACGGAUCUCUAGAUCGGAAGAGCAC